AAUGACACAAGAUGCGUAGAAGUUGAUGUGAAUCGGGUUUUUCCUAAGUAAUGUGACGAGUAAGAACAGAGUAGGAUUAUGAACAAGAAGAAUAACGGACAAGACGCCUUAGAGGACGACGCUAGGCUAGCGACGACAGAGGACUGUGCCCUUUUUAUUGUUUAUUAAAUUGUAGAAGUUGAUGUGAAUCGGGUUUUUCCUAAGUAAUGUGACGAGUAAGAACAGAGUAGGAUUAUGAACAAGAAGAAUAACGGACAAGACGCCUUAGAGGACGACGCUAGGCUAGCGACGACAGAGGACUGUGCCCUUUUUAUUGUUUAUUAAAUUGUUGAAGUUA